rnacentral:miRNA from 12 species
CCGGCCCGGCCUCGCCACCGUCCGGCCGGCGCUGCGGGGCUGCGGCUGGAGCUGGGGCCGGGGCCGGGGCCGGGC